CUAUUGUUGCGGCGCCGGCAGGGUCACGGCCUUGUCCAGUGUCACUAUAUGAGCCCCCCCGGACCAUGCACUGCUGACACUACCGUCUAGACUGGCUCUCUCGACACACACGUUCUGUCCCUUGGUCCAUGAUGUUCCGCUUAAACCUGAUGAUGGCGGUGAUGCUGGUGGGCGUAGCGGGCGUACUGGCAAGCACCUCAGCCACGCCCACGGACCCACCACCACCUGUCACCACCCUAACAGAUGAGUAUACGGACACGGACACGCCCACGCCCACGGACACACCGGAGGACCGCAGCAACACGACGAAGGAGAAAGGCACAAACCGAGUCCUCAAUUACGGAGUGGUCGCCGGCGGGGCCUUUGGGGCUUAUGAAUAUGACAGCGAUGACUACCUCAGAGGCUACCCUUACCCCCUACCCCAGCAGCCCUUCCUUCCCGGCCCUAAUCCAGGGAUCCCCGGUCUUAAUCCAGGCUUCCCCGGUCUUGAUCCAGGCAUCCCCGGUCUUAAUCCAGGCAUCCCCGGCCCUAUCCAGCAGGGCCUUCUCCCGCCCUUCCCCGGUGCUUUUAUCCCGACGGGCUCAUGCAAAUAUUACUGUCCCGGCCGCUGGCACAACCAAGUCUACUGCUGUGAUAACACACCCUCGUUCGGCGGCGGCUUCCGGUGUCCCAGGGUACGCGACAACUGCCCAGGUAAACAGUACUUCCGCCACGUGAGAUUCUGCGCGCAGGACCAAGCGUGUCACUUCGGGGAGCUGUGUUGUCUAGACGUGUGUAUCGGACGCCACGUGUGUAAGACCCCGGAUAGGCGCUAGAUCAGGAUGCUUCAAGAGGGAGGUGGAAAUCGGGUUUUUAAAGGGAUAUGGAUGAAGGUACGAGUAUGGAAGACCCCGGAAAGGCGCUAGGUCCGGGGUGCUUCAAGAGGGCGGUGGAAAUCGGGUUUUUAAAGGGAUAUGGAUGAAGGUAGAAGUAUGGAAGACCCCGGAAAGGCGCUAGGUCCGGGGUGCAUCAAGAAGGGAAUGUGGAAUUAAGUUGCGGGUUUGUAAAGGGAUAUGGAUGAAGGAAGGAGUGUGGGUGCUUCAAGAGGGAGGUGGAAAUCGGGUUUUUAAAAGGAUAUGGAUGAAGGAAGGAAUGUGGAAGACCCCGGAAAAGGCGCUAGGUCCGGGGUGCUUCAUAGAGGGAAGUGGAAAUCGGGUUUUUAAAGGGAUAUGGAUGAAGGAAGGAGUGUGGAAGUUUUGGUAUUAAGGAAAGGAUGUGUAUAUAUGUUAUGGGUUUUAGGGAUGUGUGAAACAGGGGGUGAGGACGGUAUGAGUUCAAGUGGGAUGUGAUGUCAAGGAAAUGUGGGAGUUAUGGGUUUAAGUGAUAUGUGUCAAGGGAGGGGUGAUGUUGGUUUAAGGGAUGUGUUAGGUAGAGGAUACAAGAGGUGUGAGUUCAAGAGGGAUAUGUGACAAGAUGUGUAAGUUAUGGGUCUAAGUGGGCUGUGUCAAGGAAGGGAGAUGCAAGAUAUGGGCUCAACCUUAACAUUUAAACCAUUACUAUAGUUGUUACCUCACAUAGUAUUACAGUAUUCAUCUUCACUUCCCUUCAUUGUAGUUUUGUAGACUAUGAAGUUAAUAUGUAAAAAAGUAAAUAGAGAGAUAGAUAGAUAGAUAGUUUUUCUAAUUCAAAUACUGGUACCUUCUUACAUAGACUAUACAGACAAGCAUGUACAGUAUAUAUAUCUAGGUUUAAACACUGAAAUAUCUGUUACUCAGUGCUUCAAUAUUUCCUAACCAAAACUAUGGGACAUUUCGUCACCCAAAAACACAUAUUUGCCAAGGCUUUCGUGGGAGUUUGGAGCAUUUCCAGGGGUAGUUUUAUGACCAUGGUGGUAGUGUGACCCUUCUUCUGCACCAUGAACCUAAGAAACACACAUUUGGUAAGGCUUUCAUAGGAGUUUGGGGCAUUUCCAGGGGUAGUUUUAAGACCUUGGUGGUAGUGUGACCCUUCUUCUGUACCAUGAAUCUAAGAGACACACAUUUGGUAAGGCUUUCAUAGGAGUUUGGAGCAUUUCCAGGGGUAGUUUUAUGACCAUGGUGGUAGUGUGACCCUUCUUCUGCACCAUGAACCUAAGAAACACACAUUUGGUAAGGCUUUCAUAGGAGUUUGGAGCAUUUCCAGGGGUAGUUUUAUGACCAUGGUGGUAGUGUGACCCUUCUUCUGCACCAUGAACCUAAGAAACACACAUUUGGUAAGGCUUUCAUAGGAAUUUGGGGCAUUUCCAGUAGUAGUUUUAUGACCCUAGUGGUAGUCUGACCCUUCUUCUGUAUCAUGAACCUAAAGAAACACUCAUUAGAACCCGACUGACCCCCUCUUUGACCUUUAAAAAUAGCUGAUGAUAGAAGCAAGAGGGCCUCAUAACACCAACCUGUGUCUCAUUAAUACACAAUUACAUUAAAGAAUUCAUUUAUUUAUCCUUGUCCCCUGUGUAAAAGAUAAAUCAAGACAUAUGAACACUGAAUAAAAAUAAAUAAUGUCCUAUGACGAUACCAACUGAUUAUUACAGGAAAGUACAUAAGAGAUAACUUAAUAAACACAAUAUUAAUGCAAACAAUGGAUAUGGAAAAUUAAUAAGCAAGAUAAAAAAGUUUCUCUAUAAUCACUGAGCCGUCAAGAGUAAGAGCCAGUUUUACAAUCCAACACAGUGGCUUUGUAAUCUUCCGAACCAAAGUAUUCAAUCUUCCAUUCAAACUAUUCAAUCUUCUAUUCAAACUAUUCAAUCUUCUAUUCAAACUAUUCAAUCUUCUAAUCAAACUAUUCAAUCUUCUAUUCAAACUAUUCAAUCCUCUACAAUCCACAAUGGUUACUAGGUUUUCGACGCAACACCAGAUACACAGCUUGGAAGAGAUAUCCCGUUUAUGGUUUCCUCAAAUUUCUGAACUUGAACAGGGACAUGAAACACUGCAUAAGGAAUUUCCGAAGUCCAUGUCAUUGGUUCGGAGGCUUACUAACCCAUCAUGGUGAACUGCGAAAGUGGCCCCAAGUCUGAUGGACACAACACACCACAACCUCACCAUCACAGCUCACACGAUUACGACUAUAACCUCUACAGCGGGAAACAGAUGAAACAUAUGGUUAGCGACAUCUGACAGCACUCCCUCCUCUAUCACACGACAACUGUGAUUCUGUGUCUUUUAAUGCAGAUGUCAUUACUAUAGAAGAUUACAGAGAGAUUUUAUGGUUUGUAUUAUUAAACGUAUCUGGUUCCCAUUACGGCUGUUUCCCAUGGCCACAGUGAAGGUUAACCGGGUUUUCAUGGGUGUUUUUCCCGGUCAAGGUGCAGAAGUUGUGUAAAAUUAUCACUAGCAUCACAAAACAGUCCAUGAAAAUCCCAGCAACUUCCACGAGAGGCUUUUUCAACAGGCAAACUGAGGUGUCGAUAUGCUUAAAAAUACACUAUGUCCCUAUGUUAUCACCUACAUCUGGGAGAGAGAAACACUGCUAUCAGAAACUGUUCAUUAGUCCUAAAGUAGAUCAUUCAAACUAGCUCAAUGGAGAGUUUUCACAAGAAGGCAACCAACAGGCAGUAUGCUCAUAAUGUAACUGGUGGUGACUGCAUGUGAUGGCUGGUCACAAGGUUGUCGCCAAACUGACUAAACCUUUGAGGAUGAAGUAGAUUACAUUCAUACUAGAAAUGAGUGAAUUAAUGGAGUCUUUAGGUACAGUUGUAAAAAAGGGAUCGAAGACCUUCAGGACGAGUGAAUAGAAUUGGAAUCAAUAGAUGUUGUGUUGUGUUGGUUAGGUGGAUACUUAUAGGUGUAUUCUAGCUAUUGGAACCCACUUCAGUUCUAUUCACUUGAAGUUGUGUUGGUUAGGUGGAUACUAAUGGGUGGAUUCUAGCUAUUGGAACCCACUUAACCACUUCGAUUCUAUUCACUUGAAGUUGUGUUGGUUAGGUGGAUACUGAUGGGUGGGUAUUGGAACCCAUUUAACCACUUCAAUUCUAUUCACCUGAUACUUUUUUUGCCAACUCCACAUCAGAAAAUAAGAAGCCUAUGUAUAUAAACAGACACCAUCACACGUCCGACCUCAAGAAUGGGAGAAGAUGGACUACAAAUAAGAACAUAAGGAGUCUGCAAGAGAAAUAGAAGUAGUAGAAGAAGAACUAAAAUAACUAUUAGGCACAACAUUCACGCUAGGGGAAUUCUGUCAAGCAAUUAAGUGCCAACAAAAUAUUUUAAGCAGGAGAGAAAUUGUUAUCCCAAGUUAGCAGGAAUUGUAACAAGACUCCUGAUGAAUUUUCUCCCAUAAACAGCAAAGGAAGUGAAGGUUGUUAGAUAUGGGUGUGGUUUCUUGUUAAUAUAAAUAACAACAAAUAUAAGAACAAUAUCAACAGGAAUUAUAAGCUUUUCCAAUGCCCUCUUCAUCUCUUCCAUAAAUAGCAAAAAAGUAAAGGUUGUUAGAUGAGUACAGUUUCUUGUUAAUAUAAAUGAAAAAACAAUAUCAACAGGAACUAUGAGGUCUCCCAAUGCCCUCUUUAUGAGUCUUCUUCCAUAAACACACACAAAAGGCAAAAGGUGUUAGAUGAGGACAGUUUCUUGUUAAUAUAAAUAAAUAAAACAAUAUUAACAGGAAUUAUAUAAGGCUUUCCAAUGCCCUCUUCACGAUUCUUCUUCCAUAAGCACACACAAAAGGUAAAAGGGUGUUAGAUAUAUGGGUGUAACUUCUUGUAGUUAUAAAUAAAUAAAACAAUAUCCGCAAAUAGCAAGUUGUACGGGGUAUAAUAACUUGGUCAAAGAUUUGUGCAACAAGAACGAGGCUUCAACACUGUCAAAUCAUCACUCAUAAUUACAGUGGCUUUUUUUCCUAUCAUCAGGGAGGGAAGGAUCGGUCUCGCUUAAGAAAUAUACACACACACAUGGACUAGUUACAUCCUCGCUAAUUCACAUCUCUCACACACACUUAAAACCAAUUACAUGACGGCUGUGAAUAAAAAGUGUAAGUGCAGAUAGUCUAUAGUAUACCAUGAUCCAUUGUAUCUGUUUUCUGUAUACGAUUUUGAAGGAUGAGCGUGACCAUACCAAUAUAUAUGAACGAUAUAUCAUGUACAUAGAUUUUUCACCUGAGGAUGAUCAAAGGUUCCAAAGAGCAAUCUUCAGGUGUAUUAUUGAUGAAGCACAGCACACACACUUCAGGUAACCAGUCAGGGUGUUCCAGGGGUUCUCAUGGCCACUAACAAUAUUCUCACACUUAUAAAAAAAAAAUAGACAUGACGAUGGCUCCUCCUAGCACCCACAAGUAAACCCUUAGUCUCUGGUGAUGUUCAGAAGCACAAGCAACCAUUGUUCAGUCCUACACAGGGGCGUACCCAGAGCUGUAAAAGGGGGGGGGGGGGUCUUCUUCCACUAAAUGUGGACCUUUGAAGCCACUUGAAGAGUGGUGUGUGGCGAGAGAAUCGAGCCAAAUCAGCUGGAGGUUCAGGAUUUUGAAAAAUUGACAUUUCUGGUGCAUUUUCCUGGACCCUUUAGCAGAUGGGGGGGAUCUGACCCCCCUGGGUAUGGCCCUGUUACAAAAGUCAGAUUAAGAAAAAAAUAAAUGACAUGGGGAAGACCUUUCAAGGCUGGGUGUCCAGUGCAAAGUGGGAUGGAUCUAUAUAUGUAGUGCGUCUGAGGUGGGUGGGCAGGUGUGGUGGGUGGGUGUGUGUGGUGGGUGGGCAGGUGUGGUGUGUGGGUGUGUGUGCUGCAGGCAGUGCGGCCGACAGUGUUAAGAAAACUUGGAGAAUGUCAAGGCAAAACAUGUUUACAAAACUAUGAUGAAAAAAGUUACAAGUGAUCAGUUAAUAUUGAAUAAUAGUAGUUACAUGUAUAUAUAAGCUUCAUGUAUAUAAUAUGGAUGAAAUAAAAAAAAUACAUUCAGAUCUGGCAGGGCUUGACAAAUUUCUCAUUAUUGUACUGUAUGGCUGUGACACCACCUCAUGUUCAGCAUGCUACUGUAUUUGUGUGGAAGGUAGUGGA